CUUGGUCAUUUAGAGGAAGUAAAAGUCGUAACAAGGUUUCCGUAGGUGAACCUGCGGAAGGAUCAUUACCUAGAGUUGUAGGCUUUGCCUGCUAUCUCUUACCCAUGUCUUUUGAGUACCUUACGUUUCCUCGGUGGGUUCGCCCACCGAUUGGACAAAUUUAAACCCUUUGCAGUUGAAAUCAGCGUCUGAAAAAACUUAAUAGUUACAACUUUCAACAACGGAUCUCUUGGUUCUGGCAUCGAUGAAGAACGCAGCGAAAUGCGAUAAGUAGUGUGAAUUGCAGAAUUCAGUGAAUCAUCGAAUCUUUGAACGCACAUUGCGCCCCUUGGUAUUCCAUGGGGCAUGCCUGUUCGAGCGUCAUUUGUACCUUCAAGCUCUGCUUGGUGUUGGGUGUUUGUCUCCUGUAGACUCGCCUUAAAACAAUUGGCAGCCGGCGUAUUGAUUUCGGAGCGCAGUACAUCUCGCGCUUUGCACUCAUAACGACGACAUCCAAAAGUACAUUUUUACACUCUUGACCUCGGAUCAGGUAGGGAUACCCGCUGAACUUAAGCAUAUCAAUAAGCGGAGGA
rnacentral:rRNA from 1 species